GCCUUUGAGGUGAGUGUUCCGUUGCAUUGCUUCAAGUAUUGUCAUUUCGAGCUUGGUGCUGAUUUGCAGAAUUUCCAGCGUCGACCGUCGGUAUUUCAGUACGUACUCGGCGUAGGAGCGUCGGUUUUCGACGGAACUUGGUUUGUUGGAUUCAGGACUUCGAGAGGAAUCCAUGAAGCCCUUACUUACUGGAUUUGAGUUUGGCAGGAGUUUGACUUCGGGCCUUGGGAGGUUUUCAGACGUUUUGGUAGGUUGUUCCGCAGCCGAGGGGAGUUCCGUGCUGCCAGGGAUUAGCGAGCGAGAGCCACAGGUUUCGGCUGCUGCUCCUUCCGCGGAUCAGGAUUGAGGCAAGGGCGUCGCAAGUUAGAGCCCAACCCGACGAGCUGAGCUAGAGGCAUCCCUACUGCAGGUAGAUGUUUUGUUUCGAGUUUAUGUACAUAGCAUUCUUAACUCGCCAGUGCGAGUAGCUCUGUAUUUUGGAUUUGGUCUAUGUAUUUGAAACUCGGUUUGUUUA